GAUGAACGCUGGCGGCGUGCUUAACACAUGCAAGUCGAACGGAAAGGCCCAAGCUUGCUUGGGUACUCGAGUGGCGAACGGGUGAGUAACACGUGGGUGAUCUGCCCUGCACUUCGGGAUAAGCCUGGGAAACUGGGUCUAAUACCGGAUAGGACGAUGGUUUGGAUGCCAUUGUGGAAUGUUUUUUCGGUGUGGGAUGAGCUCGCGGCCUAUCAGCUUGUUGGUGGGGUAAUGGCCUACCAAGGCGUCGACGGGUAGCCGGCCUGAGAGGGUGUACGGCCACAUUGGGACUGAGAUACGGCCCAGACUCCUACGGGAGGCAGCAGUGGGGAAUAUUGCACAAUGGGCGCAAGCCUGAUGCAGCGACGCCGCGUGGGGGAGGACGGCCUUCGGGUUGUAAACUCCUUUCGCUAGGGACGAAGCGUUUUGUGACGGUACCUGGAGAAGAAGCACCGGCUAACUACGUG
rnacentral:rRNA from 1 species